rnacentral:rRNA from 1 species
AGAGUUUGAUCCUGGCUCAGAUUGAACGCUGGCGGCAUGCCUUACACAUGCAAGUCGAACGGCAGCACGGACUUCGGUCUGGUGGCGAGUGGCGAACGGGUGAGUAAUACAUCGGAACGUGUCCUGGAGUGGGGGAUAGCCCGGCGAAAGCCGGAUUAAUACCGCAUACGCUCUUAGGAGGAAAGGGGGGGAUCGAAAGA